GGAUGCGAUCAUACCAGCACUGUAGCACAGGAUGCUAUAAGAACUCCAGAGUUAAGCGUGCUUGGGUGAGAGUAGUGCUAGGAUGGGUGACCUCCUGGGAAGUCCAUGUGUUGCAUUCC
rnacentral:rRNA from 2 species